rnacentral:rRNA from 1 species
CCUACGGGAGGCAGCAGUGGGGAAUUUUGCUCAAUGCUCGAAAGACUGACGCAGCGACGCCGCGUGAAUGACGAAGGCCUUCGGGUCGUAAAGUUCUUUCGACAGAGAAGAAAAUGCAUAUAAGUAACUGUGUAUGUCUUGACGUUACCUGUAUACUCGGCCCCGGCUAACUCCGUGCCCGCAGCCGCUGUAAUACGGAGGGGGCGAGCGGUGUUCGGGGUGACUGGGCAUAAAGGGCACGUAGGCGGUGUUGUAAGUCAUUAGGCAAAGACUAGAGCUCAACUUUAGUAAGGCUAGUGAUACUAUAAUACUAGAGUAUGAGAGAGGAUUGCAGAAUUCCUGGUGUAGCGGUGAAAUGCGUAGAGAUCAGGAGGAAUACCGUUAGCGAAGGCGGCAAUCUGGCGGGAAACUGACGCUGAGGUGCGAAAGCGUGGGUAGCAAACAGGAUUAGAUACCCUAGUAGUC